UACGUAGGGGGCAAGCGUUGUCCGGAAUCACUGGGCGUAAAGCGCGCGCAGGCGGUCUUUCACGUCCGGGGUGAAAGCCCAGAGCUCAACUCUGGGAUUGCCUUGGAUACGGGGAGACUUGAGGGUCGGAGAGGCAAGGGGAAUUCCACGUGUAGCGGUGAAAUGCGCAGAGAUGUGGAGGAACACCUGUGGCGAAGGCGCCUUGCUGGCCGACUUCUGACGCUGAGGCGCGAAAGCGUGGGGAGCAAACAGG
rnacentral:rRNA from 1 species